CCCUUAGAUGUUCUGGGCCGCACGCGUGCUACACUGAGUGGAUCAGCCGGUCAGGUUGCGCGAAAGCGUUUCCUAAUCUUUAAAUCCGCUCGUGAUGGGGAUUGACGGUUGCAAUUUUCUGUCAUGAACGAGGAAUACCUUGUAAGCGCGGGUCAUCAUCCCGCGCUGAAUACGUCCCUGCCCUUUGUACACACCGCCCGUCGCUCCUACCGAUUGAGUGGUCCGGUGAGGCUUUGGGAUCUGAGCGGAAAGAGCGUUUCGCUGUUUCUGCUCGGAAAACUCAGUCGAACCUUAUCAUUUAGAGGAAGGAGAAGUCGUAACA
rnacentral:rRNA from 1 species